AUGUGAGCUAAUUAAGACCAUUUCCUCUUCAAGUUGUUUGGUCAGUGUUUUUAUCACAGCAAUAGAAAGUAACUAGCACAGGGCACUGUCUAAUCACCUCUAUAAGGCUGUCAAAGAGAAAGAGUAUUUUGGAGGUAGUGGGCCUGGGCUGGCCUUUGAGGAAAUGCCCCUGACUUAUGGCUCUGCUGAUUCUAUACAAAUUUAGUUGCCCUGUAGGAGAUAUUUUAAGCUGAUAGGAUCAUUUCCAUGUUGACUGUUCAUCCCUCAUUAAUUGGGGGAAUUUUCACAGAUGUCAGCUUGAAGAAAGAUGCAAUAACACUGGACACCAAAUCUGGAAGACAGCCCAGGGGGUGGAGACACUCACCACAAUCUCCUCCUGCCUGUCGUAGUGGUGGCUGUGGGUGGCAGCAUAGCAGAGAGCGAGAGAGGUGCUGUGAGUGACGGAUUGCCAGACCUUGCCCCAAUUGCCUCAGUCCACGUGGAGCACCUUGUCGGUGUGGUGAGCAUGUAGAGGGAAAUCCCUUGACUCUGGGGACUUGAAAGGCUGGUUCUGUCACACCCAGCAGAGCCAUAGGAUGCCAUGGACAGGAAGAUUGGCUUUCUGUCCUCUCAACCAAGUCACUUGUAGCCAGGCUCUGUGCCUUCCUGCCUUUUCCUGGGCAAUGUUUUAGAUCCAAUAGCCUAAAGUUUUCUAUGCCACAUGUCAUUCUCUUACCAACGUUAAUAAAUUUUGAAACGUG